rnacentral:lncRNA from 1 species
CACCAACAUGCCCAUAGAAAGGAGCUUGAGAACCAAGACCAUAAAUGCGCGUCUUCUUAACACCGACUUCCUCCAAAUAUAUUUGUGAGAAAUCAAAUUCAGGAGGUUCACUGGACCCAUCUUCAGGCUGAGACGCAGAUAGAAUUUUAGACAUUAUGACGUCCUGGACAAAAAGGCUCUCACAUCUAUUUUUUGCCCAUUCUUUUUCUUGUUGUCGCUGAUGGUUUAUGGAGAUAGAUGGGGUCUUGGUGGUUGUGAAUUUGAAGAAGAAGAAGGAGGAGGAGGAGUUUCUUCUGUUUCCAAAUAUUUCCUUUUCAAAAAAUUCUCCCCUAUUUUUAUCGCCUCAAUUUUUUGUUCUUUUUCUUUUCCUGCGUAUGUAUAGUGUGAGCUAUAUAUAAAAUUUGUGUUGAUGAAAAAAGAAAAGUCAGGACGUGGGUUUGUGUGUGUGCGUGAAGGAAAAUGGGGUAUGGGGUUGGGACGACGUGAGGAGUGUUGUGG